rnacentral:rRNA from 1 species
CUCGUAGGUGGCCAACUAAGUCGGACGUGAAAUCCCUCGGCUUAACCGGGGAACUGCGUCCGAUACUGGUUGGCUUGAGUUUGGGAGAGGGAUGCGGAAUUCCAGGUGUAGCGGUGAAAUGCGUAGAUAUCUGGAGGAACACCGGUGGCGAAGGCGGCAUCCUGGACCAACACUGACGCUGAGGAGCGAAAGCCAGGGGGAGCAAAACG